rnacentral:tRNA from 1 species
ACCUAGCUGGCUUAGUCAGUAGAGCAUGUGACUCUUGAUUUCGGGUUGUAAGUUCGAGCCUCACGUUGGGAG